GACAGAGGUGGCAAGCGUUGUUCGGAUUUACUGGGCGUAAAGAGUGCGUAGGUGGUGAGGUAAGACCUGUGGGAAAGACCUGGGCUUAACCCAGGAAGGUCGCAAGUGACUGCCUCGCUUGAGGACGGGAGAGGAGAGCGGAAUUCCCGGUGUAGCGGUGAAAUGCGUAGAGAUCGGGAAGAAGGCCGGUGGCGAAGGCGGCUCUCUGGAACGUUCCUGACACUGAGGCACGAAAGCGUGGGGAGCAAACAGG
rnacentral:rRNA from 2 species